CAUAUGCUUGUCUCAAAGAUUAAGCCAUGCAUGUCUAAGUAUAAGCAAUUAUCAGCGAAACUGCGAAUGGCUCAUUAUAUAAGUUAUCGUUUAUUUGAUAGUACCUUACUACUUGGAUAACCGUGGUAAUUCUAGAGCUAAUACAUGCUAAAAAUCCCGACUUCGGAAGGGAUGUAUUUAUUAGAUUAAAAACCAAUGCCCUCUGGGCUCCUUGGUGAUUCAUGAUAACUCUUCGAAUCGCACGGCCUUGCGCCGGCGAUGGUUCAUUCAAAUUUCUUCCCUAUCAACUUUCGAUGUUUGGGUCUUGGCCAAACAUGGUCGCAACGGGUAACGGAGGGUUAGGGCUCGACCCCGGAGAAGGAGCCUGAGAAACGGCUACUACAUCCAAGGAAGGCAGCAGGCGCGCAAAUUACCCAAUCCCGAUUCGGGGAGGUAGUGACAAUAAAUACUGAUACAGGGCUCUUUUGGGUCUUGUAAUUGGAAUGAGUACAAUUUAAAUCCCUUAACGAGGAACAAUUGGAGGGCAAGUCUGGUGCCAGCAGCCGCGGUAAUUCCAGCUCCAAUAGCGUAUAUUAAAGUUGUUGUGGUUAAAAAGCUCGUAGUUGAACCUUGGGCCUGGCUGGCCGGUCCGCCUCACCGCGUGUACUGGUCCGGCCGGGCCUUUCCCUCUGUGGAACCCCAUGCCCUUCACUGGGUGUGGCGGGGAAACAGGACUUUUACUUUGAAAAAAUUAGAGUGCUCCAGGCAGGCCUAUGCUCGAAUACAUUAGCAUGGAAUAAUGAAAUAGGACGCGUGGUUCUAUUUUGUUGGUUUCUAGGACCGCCGUAAUGAUUAAUAGGGACAGUCGGGGGCAUCAGUAUUCAAUUGUCAGAGGUGAAAUUCUUGGAUUUAUUGAAGACUAACUACUGCGAAAGCAUUUGCCAAGGAUGUUUUCAUUAAUCAGGAACGAAAGUUAGGGGAUCGAAGACGAUCAGAUACCGUCGUAGUCUUAACCAUAAACUAUGCCGACUAGGGAUCGGACGAUGUUAUUUUUUGACGCGUUCGGCACCUUACGAAAAAUCAAAGUGCUUGGGCUCCAGGGGGAG
rnacentral:rRNA from 1 species